AAUUUUAUCGCAAUUUUAGGUGGUGUGAAAUAAUCACCCACCCUGCUUUACAUCUUUAAUUUUAUCGCAAUUUUAGGUGGUGUGAAAUAAUCACCCACUCUGCUUUACAUAUUUAAUUUUAUCGCAAUUUUAGGUGGUGUGAAAUAAUCACCCAUCCUGCUUUGCAUAUUUAAUUUUAUUGCAAUUUUAGGUGGUGCGGUAUAAUCGUCCACCCUGCUUUGCAUAUUUAAUUUUAUCGCAAUUUUAGGUGGUGCGGUAUAAUCGUCCACCCUGCUUUGCAUAUUUAAUUUUAUCGCAAUUUUAGGUGGUGCGGUAUAAUCGUCCACCCUGCUUUGCAUAUUUAAAUUUUAUCGCAAUUUUAGGUGGUGCGGUAUAAUCGUCCACCUUGCUCUACAUAUUUAAAUUUUCCUGCUGUUUAAAGUAGUGCGGGAUAAUCACCCAUCCUAUACUUAUUUCGAUGAGAAUGGUGCGGUACAAUUGCCCUUCUCAUUAAUUGUGUAAAUCUCGAGCCUGAAGUUUCGAGUACUUAUCAUUUUGGCCUGAAGAUCAAAAAAAAAAUUUGUAAGAACCAGAAGUUCUAACAAUAUAUUUCUCCAGUACACAUAUUACUGCAAGUUCUUACACAC
rnacentral:lncRNA from 1 species